rnacentral:rRNA from 1 species
GACGAACGCUGGCGGCGUGCCUAAUACAUGCAAGUUGAGCGCUGAAGGUUGGUACUUGUACCGACUGGAUGAGCAGCGAACGGGUGAGUAACGCGUGGGGAAUCUGCCUUUGAGCGGGGGACAACAUUUGGAAACGAAUGCUAAUACCGCAUAAAAACUUUAAACACAAGUUUUAAGUUUGAAAGAUGCAAUUGCAUCACUCAAAGAUGAUCCCGCGUUGUAUUAGCUAGUUGGUGAGGUAAAGGCUCACCAAGGCGAUGAUACAUAGCCGACCUGAGAGGGUGAUCGGCCACAUUGGGACUGAGACACGGCCCAAACUCCUACGGGAGGCAGCAGUAGGGAAUCUUCGGCAAUGGACGAAAGUCUGACCGAGCAACGCCGCGUGAGUGAAGAAGGUUUUCGGAUCGUAAAACUC